rnacentral:rRNA from 1 species
AGUGAAGAAGACUCCAUGGUUAAUACCCAUGGACGAUGACAUUAGCUGCAGAAUAAGCACCGGCUAACUCUGUGCCAGCAGCCGCGGUAAUACAGAGGGUGCAAGCGUUAAUCGGAAUUACUGGGCGUAAAGGGAGCGUAGGUGGCUCUAUAAGUCAGAUGUGAAAUCCCCGGGCUUAACCUGGGAACUGCAUCUGAAACUGUAGAGCUAGAGUAUGUGAGAGGAAGGUAGAAUUCCAGGUGUAGCGGUGAAAUGCGUAGAGAUCUGGAGGAAUACCGAUGGCGAAGGCAGCCUUCUGGCAUAAUACUGACACUGAGGCUCGAAAGCGUGGGUAGCAAACAGGAUUAGAUACCCUGGUAGUCCACGCCGUAAACGAUGUCUACUAGUCGUUGGGUCCCUUGAGGACUUAGUGACGCAGCUAACGCAAUAAGUAGACCGCCUGGGGAGUACGGCCGCAAGGUUAAAACUCAAAUGAAUUGACGGGGGCCCGCACAAGCGGUGGAGCAUGUGGUUUAAUUCGAUGCAACGCGAAGAACCUUACCUGGUCUUGACAUAUCUAGAAUCCUGCAGAGAUGCGGGAGUGCCUUCGGGAAUUAGAAUACAGGUGCUGCAUGGCUGUCGUCAGCUCGUGUCGUGAGAUGUUGGGUUAAGUCCCGCAACGAGCGCAACCCUUGUCCUUAGUUACCAGCGGGUUAAGCCGGGAACUCUAAGGAUACUGCCAGUGACAAACUGGAGGAAGGCGGGGACGACGUCAAGUCAUCAUGGCCCUUACGACCAGGGCUACACACGUGCUACAAUGGUAGGUACAGAGGGCAGCUACACAGCGAUGUGAUGCGAAUCUCAAAAAGCCUAUCGUAGUCCAGAUUGGAGUCUGCAACUCGACUCCAUGAAGUAGGAAUCGCUAGUAAUCGCGGAUCAGAAUGCCGCGGUGAAUACGUUCCCGGGCCUUGUACACACCGCCCGUCACACCAUGGGAGUUGAUUGCACCAGAAGUGG